AUUGAACGCUGGCGGCAGGCCUAACACAUGCAAGUCGAACGGUAACAGGAAGCAGCUUGCUGCUUCGCUGACGAGUGGCGGACGGGUGAGUAAUGUCUGGGCAGCUGCCUGAUGGAGGAGGAUAACUACUGGAAACGGUAGCUACUACCGCAUAACGUCGCAAGACCAAAGAGGGGGACCUUAGGGCCUCUUGCCAUCGGAUGUGCCCGGAUGGGAUUCGCUAGUAGGUGGGGUAACGGCUCCCCUAGGCGACGAUCCCUAGCUGGUCUGAGAGGAUGACCAGCCACACUGGAACUGAGACACGGUCCAGACUCCUACGGGAGGCAGCAGUGGGGAAUAGUGCACAAUGGGCGCAAGCCUGAUGCAGCCAUGCCGCGUGUAUGAAGAAGGCCUUCCGGGUGUAAAGUACUUUCAGCGGGGAGGAAGGGAGUAAAGUUAAUACCUUUGCUCAUUGACGUUACCCGCAGAAGAAGCGCCGGCUAACUCCGUG
rnacentral:rRNA from 1 species